AGUCGAGCGAGCUUGCCUAGAUGAUUUUAGUGCUUGCCUAAAUGAAACUAGAUACAAGCGAGCGGCGGACGGGUGAGUAACACGUGGGUAACCUGCCCAAGAGACUGGGAUAACACCUGGAAACAGAUGCUAAUACCGGAUAACAACACUAGACGCAUGUCUAGAGUUUGAAAGAUGGUUCUGCUAUCACUCUUGGAUGGACCUGCGGUGCAUUAGCUAGUUGGUAAGGUAACGGCUUACCAAGGCAAUGAUGCAUAGCCGAGUUGAGAGACUGAUCGGCCACAUUGGGACUGAGACACGGCCCAAACUCCUACGGGAGGCAGCAGUAGGGAAUCUUCCACAAUGGACGAAAGUCUGAUGGAGCAACGCCGCGUGAGUGAAGAAGGGUUUCGGCUCGUAAAGCUCUGUUGGUAGUGAAGAAAGAUAGAGGUAGUAACUGGCCUUUAUUUGACGGUAAUUACUUAGAAAGUCACGGCUAACUACGUGCCAGCAGCCGCGGUAAUACGUAGGUGGCAAGCGUUGUCCGGAUUUAUUGGGCGUAAAGCGAGUGCAGGCGGUUCAAUAAGUCUGAUGUGAAAGCCUUCGGCUCAACCGGAGAAUUGCAUCAGAAACUGUUGAACUUGAGUGCAGAAGAGGAGAGUGGAACUCCAUGUGUAGCGGUGGAAUGCGUAGAUAUAUGGAAGAACACCAGUGGCGAAGGCGGCUCUCUGGUCUGCAACUGACGCUGAGGCUCGAAAGCAUGGGUAGCGAACAGGAUUAGAUACCCUGGUAGUCCAUGCCG
rnacentral:rRNA from 1 species